rnacentral:rRNA from 1 species
UACGUAGGGUGCGAGCGUUAAUCGGAAUUACUGGGCGUAAAGCGCGUGUAGGCGGUUCGGUAAGUCUGCUGUGAAAGUCCAGGGCUCAACCCUGGGAUGCCGGUGGAUACUGUCGGACUAGAGUACGGAAGAGGCGAGUGGAAUUCCACGUGUAGCGGUGAAAUGCGUAGAGAUGUGGAGGAACACCAGUGGCGAAGGCGACUCUUUGGUCUGUAACUGACGCUGAGGCGCGAAAGCGUGGGGAGCAAACAGG